AGAACACGAACUGGAAGCUUAAUAACUAAUAACUGACAAAGUAUGUAUAAGGCAAAAAGUGCUAUGAAAAAAGAGGGGUGGGGGCGCCUGGGUGGCUCAGUGGGUUAA